rnacentral:piRNA from 1 species
UCUAAAUGCCAUAAGGAGAUGAACCUUGU